GAGAGAGGUCCGAAGACAACAAAAACUGCUAACUUAUGCCUCCUCAGUUAAACUCUGAGGCUCACUCG
rnacentral:tRNA from 1 species